AAAGUCGUAACAAGGUCUCCGUUGGUGAACCAGCGGAGGGAUCAUUAUCGAGUUUACUCUUUAUAACCAUGUGAACUUACAGUUGCUUCGUAUACUUUGGUAUACGGAACUAUCCAUCUCUUUUUUAUUCUUCUGAGUUAAAAUAUAAACGUGAAAACUUUCAACAACGGAUCUCUUGGUUCUG
rnacentral:misc_RNA from 1 species